rnacentral:rRNA from 1 species
AGCAGCCGCGGUAAUUCCAGCUCCAAUAGCGUAUAUUAAAGUUGUUGCAGUUAAAAAGCUCGUAGUUGAAUUUCGGGACCAAUUUGUUGGUCGUGCCUCGGUACGUACUGGUAUUAUUGGUUUCUCCCUUCUGAAGAACCUCGAUGUCAUUAAUUUGGUGUCGUGGGGAAUCAGGACUGUUACUUUGAAAAAAUUAGAGUGUUUAAAGCAGGCAUACGCUUGAAUACAUUAGCAUGGAAUAAUGAAAUAGGACGUUUGAUUCUAUUUUGUUGGUUUCUAGGAUCGACGUAAUGAUUAAUAGGGAUAGUUGGGGGCAUUAGUAUUCAAUUGUCAGAGGUGAAAUUCUUGGAUUUAUUGAAGACUAACUACUGCGGAAGCAUUUGCCAAGGAUGUUUUCAUUAAUCAAGAACGAAAUUAGGGAUCGAAGACGAUCAGAUACCGUCGUAGUCUUAACCAUAAACUAUGCCGACUAGGGAUCGGAUGAUGUUAAUUUUUUAAUGUACUCAUUCGGCGCCUUACG